rnacentral:rRNA from 1 species
CCUGAGAAACGGCUACCACAUCCAAGGAAGGCAGCAGGCGCGCAAAUUACCCACUCCCGGCACGGGGAGGUAGUGACGAAAAAUAACGAUGCGGGACUCAUCCGAGGCCCCGUAAUCGGAAUGAGAACACUUUAAAUCCUUUAACGAGUAUCCAUUGGAGGGCAAGUCUGGUGCCAGCAGCCGCGGUAAUUCCAGCUCCAAUAGCGUAUAUUAAAGUUGUUGCGGUUAAAAAGCUCGUAGAUGAAUUUGUCUCUCACGCUGUCGGUUCAGGGCCUGUCCCUGUUUAACUGACAUGUUCGUGCGGACGUCCUGCCGGUGGACUAGUUUUCCUGCCCUUGAUUGUUGUCCCACUUAGUGGCGAUUAUGUCCACGUGGGUAUAGGUACGGGCUAUGAUUUUCCUGGUUAGGACAGGUGCUUGGAGAUACAGGUUAGCGGAGAUAGUGUCAAAGCUGUUURGGCGCUCGGUUUCCUUCCCAAUCCGCUGGGUUCUCAUGGUUUAGGCUUNGCUUNGCCCUCAACAUGGCUUUACAAAGCUGGGUGGMACUNCCUUGGGUUUGGACUAGUCCUUNNGGUUUAUCCUAUCGCGGUCCUCUUAAUUGAGUGUCGAGGUGGGCCGGUACGUUUACUUUGAACAAAUUAGAGUGCUYAAAGCAGGCUAAAAUUUUGCCUAAAUAUUGUGUGCAUGGAAUAAUGGAAUAGGACCUCGGUUCUAUUUUGUUGGUUUUCGGAACACCGAGGUAAUGAUUAAUACGGACAGAUGGGGGCAUUCGUAUUGCGACGUUAGAGGUGAAAUUCUUGGACCGUCGCAAGACGGACAGAAGCGAAAGCAUUUCCCAAGAANGUUUUCACUAAUCAAGAACGAAAGUUAGAGGUUCGAAGGCGAUCAGAUACCGCCCUAGUUCUAACCAUAAACGAUGCCAGCUAGCGAUCCGCCCAAGUUCCUCCGAUGACUAGGCGGGCAGCCCCCGGGAAACCAAAGCUUUUGGGUUCCGGGGGAAGUAUGGUUGCAAAGCUGAAACUUNAAGGAAUUGACGGAAGGGCACCACCAGGAGUGGAGCCUGCGGCUUAANUUGACUCAACACGGGAAACCUCACCAGGCCCGGACACCGGAAGGAUUGACAGAUUGAGAGCUCUUUCUUGAUUCGGUGGGUGGUGGUGCAUGNNNNNNNNNNNNNNNNNNNNNNNNNNNNNNNNNNNNNNUCCGAUAACGAACGAGACUC